rnacentral:rRNA from 1 species
CACGUAGGGCGCAAGCGUUGUCCGGAAUUAUUGGGCGUAAAGAGCUCGUAGGCGGCUUGUCGCGUCGUUCGUGAAAACUCACAGCUCAACUGUGAGCUUGCGGUCGAUACGGGCAGGCUAGAGUUCGGUAGGGGAGACUGGAAUUCCUGGUGUAGCGGUGAAAUGCGCAGAUAUCAGGAGGAACACCGGUGGCGAAGGCGGGUCUCUGGGCCGAUACUGACGCUGAGGAGCGAAAGCGUGGGGAGCGAACAGG